UGAGGAAUAUUGGUCAAUGGGCGGGAGCCUGAACCAGCCAAGCCGCGUGAGGGAAGAAGGCCCUAUGGGUCGUAAACCUCUUUUGUCAGGGAACAAAAGCGAGUAUGUAUACUAGUCUGAGUGUACCUGAAGAAAAAGCAUCGGCUAACUCCGUGCCAGCAGCCGCGGUAAUACGGAGGAUGCGAGCGUUAUCCGGAUUUAUUGGGUUUAAAGGGUGCGUAGGCGGCGAUGCAAGUCAGCGGUAAAAGCCCGGGGCCAACCCAGCCGCAGCGUCGUAAACUGCAGUGCUAGAGAAGGCGAGAGGUACGCGGAAUGCGCAGUGUAGCGGUGAAAUGCUUAGAUAUUGCGCAGAACUCCGAUUGCGAAGGCAGCGUACUGGCGCCUGACUGACGCUGAGGCACGAAAGCGUGGGGGAUCGAACAGGAUUAGAUACC
rnacentral:rRNA from 1 species